CCGGAGCUACCGCCGGCCCGGAGCUGCUGCGGUACCGGGAGCUGCUGCUUCGACACCGGAGCUACCGCCGGCCCCGAGCUGCUGCUGCCGACACCGGAGCUGCGGCUGUACCGACAGCCUGAGCUCCUGCCCGGCCCCGGAGCUGCUGCGGACACCGGAGCUCCCCCGACACGGGAGCCGCCGUUACCGACACCGGAGCCGCUGCCGGCCCGGCCCCGCUCCGCUCCCUCCGACACCGGAUCUGCGGCUACCGACACCGAGUUGCGGCUGCUGCCGACACCCGGAUCUGCUGCUGCCGGCCCCGCUCCGCCCCGACACCCGGAGCCGCCGCUGCUGCUGACCCCGGAGCCGCCGCUGCCGGCCCCGCUCCGCUCCCGCAGGAUCCCGCUCGCCCUCGGCCCCGCCUGAGCGCAGUCUGGAGAUGCUCCAUCGUGCCUGCAGCCCUCAGCUCCGCAGGAAGCCUCUGAUCAGAGCUGGCUGGUAGGAGAGAGCCCGGCCUGCAGUCCCAUGCCAGCGCCUGACUCCAGAGCCACCCCUGGCAGCUCGCAGAGCAGGAGCUGAAGGAUGCUGGGCGGGAGGAGAACUGCCUGAGCCUGCAGCAUGCCAGCGUGUGCCCCCGAGCGCUGCAGCACUGCCAG